ensembl:lncRNA
GGGUUGACUCCCAAGGAGGAAGGGUCUCUAUGUAGUGUUCACUCUUCUUAGAGCCCUUCUGUGAGCCCAGGAUAUGGGUAAGAUCUUUAUUUCAUUACUCCUUUGUAACGUGAUAAUCUCUCUGGUCCGAUACCUGUUUGCCAUACAAACAGCAAGGACAAUUUCCAAGUCACUUUCAGGGAUCUGUAAAUUCUUUGUAAACUUUUCAAAACACUGUUUGCUUAAGACUGCUGUGAACGAAUGGUCAUUCUACCUACCUGCAAUAGAUUACCACUCCCUGCUUCUGUUGCUUCCUUGUUUGCUCUGUGCUCUGUGUCAUGUUAUGAAGUCUUAUAUAACAAAAUACCAAGACCAAAUAUCAAACUUAUUUAUAUCCUGCUAAUUAAAUAUUUUAAUUUUUUAUAUCUGCAAUUGAAAAGUAAGUUGAAAUCAUUAAUAGACUGCUUGACUUUAAUCAGUAAGUAAAAUAAUUUCUUGAUAAGGAUUUAGACCAAAUCAGGAGGAAUGCUUCAAGAGACAUCUGUGAUAAAAGUAUCAAGCAGUUUUUCUAAUCAUGUACCAAGUUCAAGGUCUCUGAUAAGCCACCUGGCUAUACCUACACACUUCAAUAACCCCAAGCUGGUAUUACAUUGUCUAGCUAAGGAAGGUCUUGUUGCUGGGUGCUGAGUUGCUAGGCUUAUGGCUCUCUCUGUUAUGAGACACAAAAAUAUCUGAAUGUCAUGUAGGUGAAACAUGCACAGAAAGCCAUGAGGAUGGUUAUCUUAAUAAGGAAGGCUGGUAGUAACCAAUAACCUUACGAGUCAGAACCUCUGCAUUUUUUUUAUUUCUAUUUUUUGCUUCUUUAGAGUUGUCUUUCACUUCUAAGAAGCUUCUGUGCCCAAAGUUGGCUAAAAUGCAUUCCUCAAGACUUCAGAUAUCUGCCUUUUGCAAGUAAACAUCUUCUGAAUCUCAGGCAUCAACCCUUUGUUAUUCUUAUUUUUCCAUCAUUGGGCUCAUUUGUCAUCUGGAAGAUAUCUGUUUAUUUACAUUUUAAUGCCCCUUUCCCAGAACUCUAUCUUGUUAUGUUUUUUCUUAACAUUGUUUUUCCUUACAAUAAAUUGUUGUGCUCCAAGAACAUGCUUGGCAUUAGGUCUAAAUGGACAAGCAGAGCAGUCUUUCAUGUACAGCAUAGUCUUUCUUUUAUGAAUCUAUGUCAGCUGAGUACAGCUCAUAAGUGAACCCUCCAAAUUUUCUGGCUUUACCUGUAACUCACGGCUGAACCUCUCUCUGCUCAGUGAUGAAGUGAGUAUAUUUCCUCCAUUUUUCCUUUGAAUCUCAGACACUUUCUCUGUAUUCAUAAUGCUUCAGUAUCCCUGUAUGUUCCAACUAGAACUUCCAAAACUUCCAUCGUUAAACCAGACUGAUAUACAGCUACUUUGUUCUAGUAAUGUAAGUUCUAAUCUUUGGUACCUAGGAUGUAUCUGUCUUGUUCUUCUGUUACUAGAAAUGAAAGUAGUGAAUGGUUAAUGUAGUAUUUCCUUUUGAUUCAGAUUAUUUAUCCCCAAAGGGAACUUUGUGGACAGUCAGUUUUACUGUUUUCUCAUGAUCAUUCUAUAGCCUACGCAAAUAUGAGCUAUGAUCUAAAUGGGAAUUCAAAGGUAUUGGUACAGAAUUUUGAAUACUGUUACUGCAUUGCAAAUACUCUCUGUGGGAGAUUCUGGUAUAUCUGCUUGAAGAGUUAUUAUGGCAUACCAGAACAUUUUGCUCACUCUGGACAAUUUCCAUUCCCCAGAUAGGAAAUGGGUAUAGACAAAUAUUUUAUAAAACAGGACUAAACCCCAAAAUAUGACUAGAUUAAUCCAGGAGCUGAUAUUGAUAUGGAUUUAUUUUAUGUUAUAAAGCACAUUUCAACUGGUCAGAUCUUUCUGUUACAUUUAUCCUCUUAUGGUCUAAAGAUUUUGUUUUGGUAUGAUUUUUUCAGUCUUACUGCUAUGAAAACAAAAGAAUUCAUGUGACUUGGGUGUUGAAGCCAGCCAUGGUUAAUAGCUUUUUCUAGAAUCAUUUAACACUUAAGGGAUACGAAGAUUUUCAAAUUUCAGUUAAUUUUCUGUAAUGACUAAAGGGUAUUGUGGCACCUCACAGGAUUCAUGCAAGUUAGGAUAUUUAAGAAAUUAAUUAAUUGAAACUGGAUUUGACAGCAGUGUAGAGAAUCUCAGAGCCAACCUAUUGCAAAAACCCUAACAAAUUUUUAGGCAUUUUUGGGAAGAGCAGGGAGGGAGGUAGAGAACAGAGAGUAAAAAGAAUAACUUCGAAAUAACCUCGGUGUUGCUGAUACACAUUGUUUAGAUUUAGAAGAAUUUUAUUAUUAUUACUUUUUUAAUAGAAGUCAUCUUAAGGAGUGUUGAUUAACAAUCCUGUAGCUGAUUGACUACUAUACCCUUAAGAAUGCAACUAGGCCAUUUGAAAUUUUAUAUAUAUGGGUCAUGCAGCUUCAAUUAUCAAUGUCACUGGUGAUAAACAUCUAUAGAUUUUGUCUUUAAAAAACAGACUGGCUUUCCCGGCUGAGAAACAGUUCCUAAACUAGAUGUGGUAGUCUGUGAAGUUUAACAUGCAGCCAUGUACCACCACUGGAAAGGACAUCUUUCACAGUCCUGCUUCUUUGUAAUAUCAUUGGCACUGAAAGGUAAUGACAAGUGCUGUGAAAUAGCCAUAUAAACAGCAAUAUUCUGCCUCAGCCAGUGCAUUCCAUAGACCUUACUGGUCCAUUCUGUUUUCAGCAGAAAUCCCUGCUGACUUUCAUGAGGAUUUAGCUUAAUAAAAAUGGCUGGAAUUAUAUGGUCCCUUGCCAAUAAUGAGUAUUCUUCAUUUUCAGAGUAUGUAGUAGAAAGAAAUAUAAAAAAAUCAUUGUAGAUGUUAAUUGUAGGUUCCAAUUGUUUAUUAAUUGCAAUAAUCUCCUGCACAUACCCUUUUUAUUGAAUGUUAUUGUUCACUGUUAUCAAGGUUUCAAGGAAGCAAUUUCUCAUAUAGGAUGAGACACUAUACAGGGUGUAUCAUACUCUGCAGGUGUUAAAUUUAUUGUGAGCAGCAGAGGCCACUUGAAUCUGAAAAAUUCCUUGAUUGAUUUUCAUGAAAAAUUUCCAUGGAGAAUAAGUUUUAUCUAAGCUGUGGUUGGGCUAUUCUUGAAGAAUUUCCGAUUUGUGGGCUGCAUACUAUGCAAGUUUACGACAGGGAGUUGCGGCAUGAAGCCAUACAGCAAUACUAUUUUGAGUAUAUGGAAACAAAUUCUUACCUUGACCUUGAAUAAUGUUCAAGUAGAUGGGAUAAAGAAGUUCCCUAUUUUUGUAGAUUUAAAGGUGUUGACAUUUUGGGAUCAGGAUCCAAAUAAUUACCCUUCUAAAAGAGGGGUUAGAAAUAACUUUUUAGUGAAGAAAUGUAUCUACAGUGAUGUAAACAUUUAUGAAUAAGAUUAUGAUAUCUUUCCACUUCAAAUAAAGAAAUGAGCUGGAAAUAGCUGGAAAAGUUAUGAGUCUGUCUUUCAAUCUUCAAUAUUUCUGAACUAGAAGAACCACUCAUGACUAUUAGGAAGCUACAACCAAUGCUGCACUCAAGCCAUAAUUCAUCCAGGAGUUAACCACAUUAAUAGCUUGUAUAGUUCUGGGACUUACUCUUCACUAACUAACAGAAAAAUUAGAUCUACUAUCACAGGAUUACUGUCAGAAGAAGGAAAUUAAAUCUGAAGAAAAGCUAAAAGAAUGAACAUAAGAAACACAUCAAAAAAGAGAACCCCAGCUGACUGAAAUUGUUUUUUUCAUUAUGGGAAACUUCAUUCAUCCAUAUUUGUCUUUUACAAAGGAUUAUAAAUUGAGGACUACAAGUCCAUAAAAUUUAUAUUUUGUCAUCUGGUUUGACUGGUGGAAUUAUGUUAUUGAGAAGGAUUCUAAGAUCACAUUAGCCAGAAAAGAGUAAUGCACUACACCCACUGAAGAACAAUACAUGUUCUUAUCUACCAAGGCAGGCAAUCAAUUCUCUAGUGCAUAUAUCAAUACAGGCUAGAAGUCCACUAUUGGCAGAUGAUGUGGAUGAAGUCCUGAUACAGGCUUUACCAGCAAUGAUUACCACAGCUGAAUUCACUGUAGGUUAAACAAACAACAAACAAACAGAAAAACAAUCCAACAUAGAAAAUAAACCCACAACUGAUUAAUCCUUUAUCACUGUGAUUUCCAUAACAUGAUAAUGUGAGUUCCUUUAAAAUGUACAAGUGUGUAUAGUGCAUAACUCAAUUUUGAACUGUAAACUAACAAAAUAUUUUAAAAUAGUGAAUACAGUGAAAUGUCUUUUAAAGUUAGGGAAGUGAAUUCAAGAAAAAUUCUAAAACUCAUCAGAACCAAAACAACAUCAAAAUUCAGGUAAGGCUCCUAAAUUACUUGUCACUUUCAUGAACUUCAGGACAAAAAAAAGAAAUCAAGAGAGAUGGAGAGAUGUUUUAGUUCUGCUUCUACAACACCAUAAAUAAAAAGGCAGGUACAUGAAUACUUUAAUAGGACUUCUAGUUAAGAGCCAACCUAGGAAAUAUCAGGUGUCUUAUCAGUCUAGAUAUGGGGACAUACCUCUGUUCUCCAAGGAGGGGAAAAAAGAAUCAUUAUGACAGGUGAUUUAACUGAAAUUUUGAGUAGAGGUUGAUAAAUUUGGUAAUAUCCAGGGUAAAGUCUGUUAUAUCUCCCUGGGAGACAGGCCCAAAAUCUCAACCUCCCUGCAGCCUGUGGUGAUCUACCCUGACUCCUCAAAGCAAAGAUCUUAAUCAAGGGCCCCAGUGAUGCACUGCUGACUUCUAGGUCUCCCUAUAAUUUGGCCACUGUAAGUCACUGAGUUUUCCAGGAGCAGCUUAGAUACUGGUACAGUAUAAACCACAAGACUGAAGUUACUUUGGACUAGCCCAACCUUUGUUUUGAACUUCACCUUCACCUUGAGCCACUUACUCUGUUUAUGCAUUUAUGAGCUUACUGAAGGUUCCUCUUUGAUUUUAGGGUAUAAAUCAAGACCCAUAUAUACUCUCCUCACCUAGAGGCUAUUCAAGAACUUAUAUUCAGAACUGAUUCACUGGGUUGUAAAAGAUCUGACAUGCUUUGGGUUUAAUCACAGUUCUCAGUGUUGCAAACCAUAACUAUUAGCAUUUAGCUUCACAGCUUCAGCAAGCGUGAGCCUCAGAGUAGGAUCCAAACAGCUAGUCCAUUGAAUGGAGAACUAUCAGUCUUGCUAAGGAUGAAAUGAUACAGGUACAGGUACUUUCUUACCAUUUCAUAGUCAUCUCUCAACAGAAGAUCUUACUGCCUCUGAAGUUUGUUCUGGGCUGGAACAGCCUCUACCUUCUUCACAAGCUGUUGAGCUGCUCCAAACAACAAGAAGUAUCCAUUUGAGAUGUGAGGUAACAUUCAUAUUCUUUUAUAGAAUCAUAGAAUUGAGUUGGAAUAGACCUUUGAAGGUCAUUUGGUCCAACUCUCCUGCAAUAGGCAGGGAAAUCCACAGCUACAUCAGAUUGCUCAGAGCCUGAUCCAUCCUGACCUUGGAUGUCUCAAGGUCAGACUGUCUUCUGUCCUGGGAAGAAAGAUAAAGGGAGAAAGUCUUCACACCACCUUGUACUGUAUUCUCUAUUUUAUGUGUUAUUUAGUUCAAGUUAGACACUUCCAUACUGCAGUGACAAGGAAUAAAGAUGAUGUGAGUGCCCACCUCACUGGAGUUGUAUUGAUACUUUCCUGCUGUUAGAUUCAAGUAAAUGAGUUCCAUAAAAAGAACAUUUUCAUUGUCUCUCUCUUUUUUCCACUCUUUCUUUUUAUGUAGCUGUUGAAUCUGGACUAAGAUAACAAUAACAAUUAUAUGAGCAGACUGCUAAGAUUUCAAUUAUGCUGACAUUAAAUUCUUGGCUUUACAUAGCCUCUUGGUCUGUAGAAAUAUUUUCUUGUUGCAGGGGAAUUGCUAGGUCACAGCCUGAGCCAAUGGUCAAGCAUCAGGUGAGAAGGCGUGGCUAGCCCAGGAAGCUCAGGUGCAUGCAAUACAUCUGCAUAACUAGAAGGGAUGGAGCCUGGAUCCACCCCCUCCUCACCCUCAUUAGCAGCUAGUAGCCAAGGGAGUAGUAUCUUUCUGCAUAGCAAUUGCACUCCUCUUGAGCUGCCAAUGGUUACUGGAAGGGGUGAGUAACUUUUCCUUUUUUACCUGCUAUUGCUCUGUAGGGCUUGUAACCCAUUAGAAUGCACUGUCAUUGCCUUCUUUUGCCAUAUAAUUGCUAUAAGCAUAAUCAUAUGGUUCAGGCGAAACUUAAAUGUCUGGGAUCCAUAAAGGAGAACAGAUUCCUGGCACAUAGGAGAGCAUUGGUUUUGAAACUGGCACCUGUAACAUUGAGGAACCCUUAAGACUGAAGCAGCAAUAAAGCAUCCACUGCUUGGAGGCUGUGAGACUGGAUGUAGGUGCUGACAUUGAAUCCAGGACCAUUUUUGGCCUGGAGUGAAAAUGAGAGCAGAGCACCACGUGUCAUAUUUUCCUCCAGCCCUGAGUCUUACCCUUGUUGAUGAGAAGGUCAGGCAGGUUCAGCAACAGACAUUCCUUCAUAGGCAUGGUCAACCUGUCUAUAUGGGAAAAUGUCUGAAGUUAAUUUAGUCAAACCAAAGGAAACACACAUCUCAGAAUUUUCUCUGUUCAGCUUUAGCCUCUCUUUCCUUAAGAUUGGCUGGUAGCAAAAACAAAGCAGGGUAUGCAGCACAAGUGUUCAUCCAGUCUCAUUUAUCCAUGUAAUGAAACUGUAGGGUCAAUAAGUAUACAGAUUGAAGGCUAGAGAAAUUAUUGCGUUAAAAAGGAAUAAUCAGGGAUGAAUGGAAAGCUUACCCAUGUCCUGGGCUCACCAAAAAGAUUCCAAGAUGAGCAAUCUCCAGAGAGAGAUCCUUCCUCAGUGGAAGUCAGCCCUUAAAUGGGGUCUUUCAAAUGGGUCCUCGUAUAUUGCUUCUCUUAUGCCAAGUUCACAAAUGUAAUUCUGAAGGUCCUCCAUGGUGGACCACAAUCCUGUGUUUAAUGGUGUAUCUGAUUUUUUUGGCCAUACCACAUGGCAUGCUACCAUUAGCCAAUCGAUUACAGAAUGAUUUUCAUUAGUAUAUUGGACACCUGCAUAUAUUCUUUGCCUAAGGGCAGGGUGCACCAUCAUGGUGGCCAAUUUAGAUAUUUCUAGCCCAUUGACCAUGACACUUUCUGCCCCUGAAUACCAUAGUCUUACUAACCAGGUUGGUACACUUUCGUUCGGCUUUUGCCAGAAUCGCUGUACUAUGUCCAUUAAUUCUGUUUGUGUGUAUGGCCUGGUUGUUACAUGUAAAUGUGUUUGGGCAUGGGGCCAUUGAUUGGGGGGUACCCCCUGCCUGUCUAUCUUGUACUUUCUUUUUUGAGUUAUGAUAGGAUGGAGUUCUAGGGAAUCUGUCAUAAGUGGAACCUCUAAAUCUGAUUUAGAAUUUUUUAACCCAGGUCCAUUGUUUCAAAAAUUGUUGCUUUCUGCAACAAUGAUGUUAGCCACCUGUGUUAGGCCUCUGUGCUCACUGACCAAUAGCCUGAUCAGGGCCAAAUGACUGCAGACGCACACCAAUAUGAUGAGCAGCAAAAUGGCGGUUUAUUCACUACUAAACACAGCUUAUAUACAUUUUUACCUACAUAACCGUGCUGUCAUGUCCCACCCUGAUUGGUUCACACCGGAUAACAUUGUGCCUUAUUUGUCCAUUUCCACAUUCUUUUCUCAUCUUCUUCUGCUGUUUUCUCUGCAUCAAGGUCAGCACAAUAGCACUGUCUCUCUAUGCUUAGGGAGAGGCCUGUCCUGUACAUCCUGUGCCCCUGCAAGGCGCCUACUACAUUUCCCCCUCCCUAAGCUAAAUACUACUUAGACACACGCCUAACCCAUACAUCGCAAAGCAGCGCAAAACACCUAAUCCUAAAUAUAUUUCAGCACACUAUUCCUACUACUUUUCUUCUACAAUUCUUAAGCAAACAUCAGAGCAACAGGGAAUCCUUUCCUGUGCUUGGCCAAGCCUGGUGCCUACUACAACAAAAAAUCUGUUCGUUAUCUAUUGAAAUAUUACGGACCUGGCCUAUUGGAAGAUGCAAGGUUGUUUUUUUCCCCUGUUAAUAUACUAAGUUCCUGUUCUAAUUUCUCAAUACAGUCUUUCACUAGCUGAUUUUCAUUUUCUAAAGUAUCAGCUCUUAUUUCAGUUUGGUUUAAGGCAUUCAGCAGUGGCUAUGCCACUGUAGAGGCAGCUAACUGCCACUCUUUUGUAAUUAAUAUAUCUUUAUCUAAACCUUGAAAAUAUUCCACCAUGCAGAAUGGGGAAAUAUUCCCCAUAACUCACAGAGGACCCCAUUUUUCAAUGACUGGGAGAUCCCAGAAAUCCUGGAAUCUGCCCAGGAACCAUUUUAUCUAGGAGGGUAGUGUUCUCCCCCUGACCUGUUUAUAAAGACACCACGGGAAAGACAUUAUGGUUUUAGUAUAUAUAUUUGGCCUGCCUGACUUACCAAGUGUAGGGUCAGUAAGCAUACAGAUUGAAGGCUAGAGAAAUUAUCGUGUAAGAAAGGAAUAACUAGGGAUGAAUGGAAAGCUUAUGCAUGUCCUGGGCUCACAAAAAAGACUCCAAAAGGAGCAACCUCCAGAGAGAGAUCCUUCCUCAGUGGAAGUCAGCCCUUAAAUGGGGUCUAAGAGAGGUGGAGCCUGGCUCCACCCCUCCUGAUUACACAGGUGGAGUUGCUUUCACCUGUGCCCCCAUGGCUGACUCUGUGCUUGCCUCAGGUGCUCAGUCAGAGGUUCAGGCUGUGAUUCAACAGUUCCUAUACAGAAACUAUUUUCAAAAUAAUACUUCAGGUGAAAGCUAAGAGAUUCUCUUCUGCAGAAAGUUGCUGCUUUCUUCCAGAAGCAGCAUUUCAGCUGAGCUUCUUGCUUCACCUGGAAAUACUUGAAAGGAAAAAUUAUCCUUAUACAGUUUGGCUCUGACCCUGAAAAAUAUUAACGUGACAACCAUAACUUCCUGUAUGUGCAACAAUAGGGACUAACAACACCUGUGAUCUAGCUGUUUCCACACAAAGGUGUAACAGCCUGCCUGGCUCUGCAAAUUUGCAGAAUUACUGGCACGACUACCAGAGGGACAGGUCACCUACUGAAGUCUACUUUGCUAUUUCUAUGUAUGUGUUUUUUAGUCCUUCCAUAAGGUAUGUUUGUGUUUCUGCAGAGCAUAUGACUUUACUGCACUAGUAAAAGCAGAUGGAGGAAGGAGAGCUCUGUGUUCCCUUGUAGCUGUGUUUCCCAAAGCUCUGCAGCCUGCUGUUGAGAAAGCCAGCUUGGUUGCUGUUGCCUGUUUAUAAAACUCUCUGACUUGGCCCUCAUCUCUCCUAUCAUGACUGUAUCAAACGUCCCUUUGGUGGCCUGCUAUCUGCUGAGUGAUGCUCGCAUCCCACAGUUCCUGCCUAAGGCACUGACACCCACUGUCAUAACAGAAACAGUGGUCAGCCUGGCGAGUACGUGGAGAUUUCUGAAUUUGGAGCAUCUCCAACACAGUGAAAUGCAAGGUGAGAACACAGACUGGAUUUUCAACAGAAAAUUUUCAUUAGGUGCAGAUUUGCUCAGCUGCUUUGUGAUUUACCACCAGCACAGCAUAUCCUCAGACCCUACCAUGCGGCAUCUUUAAACCUACAGCAAAACAGAAGAUUCUAUUAAAGGGAAAUACUAAGGUCAAUCACCAAAAAAACGUGUAAAUACCCGAAAGCUACAUGUUUGAGAUCAUUUCUUUAAAAACAAUAUACGAUUUUGUGGAGAAUGCGCAGUUAUGAAAGAUUACAGGUGAAGAACAACACAGUGGGUUAGCACAGUCCCUGCACCCCGCAACAACAGUAAUCAUUCUUAUUAUAGACUCCUCCUCAUGCAUGAUUGUAAGUUUGACAGGAACUUUUCCUCCACAAACUUCCUAUGAAAGAUCUGCUUCCAGUGGCCAUGGACUUGUUAGUGAAAACAAGGUGGAUUUUAUCACAGCAGAAAACCACACCAUGGCGUAGUCAGAAGUGAAUUUAGCCCUUCAAGAUCAAGUGUGAUCUUUGGCCAAAUUAUUAUAUUUAACCUCACUGUGAAAAAGAUGUCCUAAAUUAUGAAGACCCUGCUCUGCCCUUGAAUAAGCACAUCAGACACAGACCUCAGUGGGAGGAGUACCGGCUGCUUUUAUGGUCAGGAUUCAGUCGAGAGAAUUAAGCCUUUCUGAAGCAAAACUAAAUUGCAACAGCAAGUGUUGUACUGUCAUUUUAAUGACAGCAGAAGUCUAGGGUGUCUGAUGCUGAAUUGUGCAUGUAGAGAGCAGAAUGAAUUCUCAAGGUCUGAUUUGUGGAUUCUGAAUUGCAAAGUUCAGCGAUCCUUGCACUUGGCAAGCACCUGGAAUUGAAGCAUGUGCAACCAAGCUCUGUAUGUAAUUCUGUAAAAUGAGAGCUGUUUAUCUCAGCGGCUGAAAUAUUCAUUAUUGAAAAUAAGCAUUUCAGUGUUCAGAGGCGGAAUCGUGGGCUGAGAAUAAAAACGACCUGGGAAAUAGUAAAAAACUCCAUGUCUCUAAACGGCGUAGGGUAUGACCCUGCAGAAGGGCGAUGGGAGAACUCCUUCCGCCUUGGAGCUGCCUUCUGACUCUGUCCCAUCGUUUCAGCUUGGCUGCUAUUGGUGGUGGCAGAAAAAUACCGGAAGAAAUUUACAACAGUUUUGGCUGAAAGAGAGGAGGAUGAUUGAGAAAAGGGAUGAAAUUGGAAAACACCAACCUUUGCAUCUUUUCCAGAAUGUUCUAGUAACUGGCAGGCAAUAUGGGCUUUGUGUUAAAAAAGGAGCCUAUUACCACCUCUACUGAGAAAGCACCUGCCAUUUGGCCACGUUUUAUGCCUGAGAAAUCACCCCACUUCAGUGUAGCAGCGAAAUGCUCUCAGAUUCUUUCCUUGCUUUGCUUUCUUUUUGCACUCAGACUUUGCAGGCUGCAGACAGUAUUCUCAAAGGGCAGUGGAACUGGCUCCCUCAAGCCCAGGCCCCAGUAAAUGAAUUUGGGGUCACUUGGGAACUUGCUUGUCCUGUAUUUCAGUGGCUGUUUCCUGGCACUGAUUCAGCAGGUUAAGAGCCAGUUUGAAAUGCUGAAGGAACAAAAAGCAGAAAAUGGAUAUGGGGGGGAAAUUUAGAUGGGGACAAGCAUAUAGUGGAAGUUUUCCACUUUAGAUUAGAUUAUUAUGAUUAUGAUCAUUAUUAUUAUUAUUAUUAUUUAAGGAUAGAAGGCAAAGUAAAGGCAACAGGAACAAACCAUGAAGGAAAAGCAGAUAUUCAGAGGAAAGGCUGGGGCAAAGGAUAGCGUGUGAGCUGCCUGCCCCUGGCAGUGGUGCUGGGAUUGUUUGAGCUGGUGUGGUAAAAGGAGUCUGUUCUCUUUAAAAUGCUAGCCUCAGAAGCAAAGCCAAACAGCUAUUGUGCCAUCCUCUGCAGUAACAUUUUGAUGUGCAAUCUCCACAUUGAUAUGAUUAGUUGUUAAGUCAAAUAAGAGACAGCGUGACAGAAAUGUUAUUUAACUGAUUUGCCAAACUGAAUAAAGUAUAGUCUGGUCUUGUUUACAGUCAAAAUGGGAAAGUGUUUACCAGGAUAUCCAGGGGUCUCCAACAAGAGAAAAAAACAGAUCCAAAGUAAACACUUUCCAAUGCUGCCUUAGAGAAUGGUUCCCAUCUCUGGUUCUGCUACAACAUUUCUGCUACUGCUGAACAAAGUCCUUAAAUCCGGCUUCUUCCCUAUGGUUGCUUGCUGGGAACAGAACAACCAAUCGAUCAUAGCCACUGCCAAAAUCAGCAGGGAUGUGCUUCAGAGCUACGAUGCAUUACUUAGUACUGCAUACACAAAACGAAUCAGGGCCUUAGUAUCUAAAUUAAAUCCCUCUGUGCCUUAUUUCCCCUUCCACUAAAUGAGGAUAUAACAACCUCACUACACCAUGAACAUGUGAAGAUAAACUAAUCCAGGUUUGUAAAGUCAAAUUUAAGUUGUGUGUACUCACAGCAAGGGGCCAUACUCUGAAAACUGAGGAUAAAAGGAAUGUUAAGCAGAUGCUUUUUAAAUGAGUAUUGUGCAGCCUGUGCAGUCAGAGAAACAGAUGUCUUGUAGAAAUACGGCUCAUAAUCAUGUAACUUCAGUUGUUACUGAGUGUGGGUGGGAGAAGGGAACUACCUUACCCAAGCUCUGAACACUGGAACGUACAUCCCUACAGACAUUACUUUUUAGGCAUGUUUGGGAUAUUGUCUGAGCAUCCUGAAGAUGAGCAGAAAAUAAAUUUUGAUAAAGAACUUACACCUCCUUUCAAAAACUAAUAGCAACACUAUAAAAAUUGCAAACUUUGGCCUCAACACUGACCUUGUAUUCCUGUCUUGUCAGGUCCAGAAACACUGGCAUUUCCUCAAUGUAGACAUGAAUGACUGUGGUUGUCAUAAAUACUUUGGCAACCCAAGGAGCAGGACUGCCUGCAUAAUUCUGUAUAUUUGCAACACUAGUAGCUCUUCUGUGGAAAACAAGGAACUUCA